rnacentral:rRNA from 1 species
GAUGAACGCUGGCGGCGUGCCUAAUACAUGCAAGUCGAGCGAACGGACGCGAAGCUUGCUUCUCUGAUGUUAGCGGCGGACGGGUGAGUAACACGUGGAUAACCUACCUAUAAGACUGGGAUAACUUCGGGAAACCGGAGCUAAUACCGGAUGAUAUUUUGAACCGCAUGGUUCAAAAGUGAAAGACGGUCUUGCUGUCACUUAUAGCUGGAUCCGCGCUGCAUUAGCUAGUUGGUAAGGUAACGGCUUACCAAGGCAACGAUGCAUAGCCGACCUGAGAGGGUGAUCGGCCACACUGGAACUGAGACACGGUCCAGACUCCUACGGGAGGCAGCAGUAGGGAAGCUUCCGCAAUGGGCGAAAGCCUGACGGAGCAACGCCGCGUGAGUGAUGAAGGUCUUCGGAUCGGAAAACUCUGUUAUUAGGGAAGAACAUAUGUGUAAGUAACUGUGCACAUCGUGACGGUACCUAAUCAGAAAGCAACGGCUAACUACGUG